UGUUGAACUUGAGAUUUGGGUGUUGGUUCAACUUAAAAGUUUGGCAUUUGUUGAACUUGAGUUUGUGUGUUUGUUGAACUUAAGUUUGUGUCUUGUUUGAACUUGAGUUUGUGGUGUUUUCAAACUUGAGUUUGUGUGUUUUUUGAACUUUAGUUUUUGGUGUCUGAACUUGAGUUUGUGGUGUUUUUGAACUUGAGUUUGAAUCGUGGUUGAACUUGAGUUUGUGGUGUUUUUGAACUUGAGAGUGUGUUGUGUUUUUGAACUUGAGGUUGUGGUGUUUUUGAACUUGAGUUUGUUUCGUGUUUGAACUUGAGUUUGUGGCGUUUGUUGAACUCUAGGUUGUGGCAAUUGUUGAACUUGAGAUUUGGGUGUUGGUUCAACUUAAAAGUUUGGCAUUUGUUGAACUUGAGUUUGUGUGUUUGUUGAACUUAAGUUUGUGUCUUGUUUGAACUUGAGUUUGUGGUGUUUUCAAACUUGAGUUUGUGUGUUUUUUGAACUUGAGGUGUUGGAAAUUGUGAAACUUGAGAUUUGGGUAUUGGUUGAACUUGAGUUUGUGUGUUUGUUGAACAAGAGAUUGUGUUGUGUUUUAACUUCAGUUUGUGGCGUUUUUUAAGCUUGAGGUUGUGGUGUUUUUGAACUUGAGUUUGUGGUGUUUUGUACUUGAGUUUGUGUUAUUUUUCAACUUGAGGUUGUGGAACUUGUUAAACUUGAGAAUCAGGUGUUGAUUGAACUUGAGUAUUUGUUUUUUUUUAACUUGAGUUUGUGUCGUGUUUGAGCUCGAGUUUGUGGUGUUUUUGAAUUUGAGUUUGCGUGUUUGUUAAACUUGAGUUUGUGUCGUGUUUUAAAUUGAGUUUGUUGUUUCUGAACUUGAGUUUGUGGCAAUUGUUGAACUUGAGUUUGACAUUUGUUGAACUUGGGUUUGUGGUUUUUGUUGAACUUGAGUUUGUGGUGUUUUUGAACUUGAGGUUGUGGAAUUUGUUAAACUUGAGAAUUGGGUAUUGGUUGAAAUUGAGUUUGUGUGUUUGUUGAACUCUAGGUUGUGGCAAUUGUUAAACUUGAGAUUUGGUUGUUGGUUGAACUUGAGUUUGUGUUGUGUUUGAACUUGAGUUCGUGUUGUUUGUUGAACUUGAAUUUGUGUGUUUUUUGAACUUAAUUUUUUUGAACUUGAGUUUGUGGCAAUUGUUGAACUUGAGUCUGUGGUUUUUGGUGAACUUUAAUUGGUGGCAAUUGUUGAACUUGAGUUUGUGGUGUUUUUGAACUUGAGUUUGUUUCGUGUUUGAACUUUGUUUGUGGUGUUUUUGAACUUGGGUUUUUGGUGUUUUUGAACUUGAGGGUGUGUUGUGUUUUUGAACUUGAGUUUGUGGUGUUUUUGAACUUGAGGUUGUUUCGUGUUUGAACUUGAGUUUGUGGCGUUUGUUGAACUCUAGGUUGUGGCAAUUGUUGAACUUGAGAUUUGGGUGUUGGUUCAACUUAAAAGUUUGGCAUUUGUUGAACUUGAGUUUGUGUGUUUGUUGAACUUAAGUUUGUGUCUUGUUUGAACUUGAGUUUGUGGUGUUUUCAAACUUGAGUUUGUGUGUUUUUUGAACUUUAGUUUUUGGUGUCUGAACUUGAGUUUGUGGUGUUUUUGAACUUGAGUUUGAAUCGUGGUUGAACUUGAGUUUGUGGUGUUUUUGAACUUGAGAGUGUGUUGUGUUUUUGAACUUGAGGUUGUGGUGUUUUUGAACUCUAGGUUGUGGCAAUUGUUGAACUUGAGAUUUGGGUGUUGGUUCAACUUAAAAGUUUGGCAUUUGUUGAACUUAAGUUUGUGUGUUUGUUGAACUUAAGUUUGUGUCUUGUUUGAACUUGAGUUUGUGGUGUUUUUUGAACUUUAGUUUUGGUGUCUUUGAACUUGAGUUUGUGGUGUUUUUGAACUUGAGUUUGAAUCGUGGUUGAACUUGAUUUUGUGGUGUUUUCGAAAUUGAGGGUGUGUUGUGUUUUUGAACUUGAGGUUGUGGUGUUUUUGAACUUUAGUUUUGGUGUCUUUGAACUUGAGUUUGUGGUGUUUUUGAACUUGAGUUUGAAUCAUGGUUGAACUUGAUUUUGUGGUGUUUUCGAAAUUGAGGGUGUGUUGUGUUUUUGAACUUGAGGUUGUGGUGUUUUUGAACUUGAGUUUGUUUCUUGUUUGCACUUGAGUUUGUGGCGUUUGUUGAACUCUAGGUUGUGGCAAUUGUUGAACUUGAGAUUUGGGUGUUGGUUCAACUUAAAAGUUUGGCAUUUGUUGAACUUGAGUUUGUGUGUUUGUUGAACUUAAGUUUGUGUCUUGUUUGAACUUGAGUUUGUGGUGUUUUCAAACUUGAGUUUGUGGUGUUUUUGAACUUGAGGUGUUGGAAAUUGUGAAACUUGAGAAUUGGGUAUUGGUUGAACUUGAGUUUGUGUGUUUGUUGAACAAGAGAUUGUGUUGUGUUUUAACUUCAGUUUGUAGUGUUUUUUGAACUUGAGGUUGUGGUGUUUUUGAACUUGAGUUUGUGGUGUUUUGUACUUGAGUUUGUGUUAUUUUUCAACUUGAGGUUGUGGAAAAACGUAAACUUGAGAUUUGGGUGUUGAUUGAACUUGAGUUUGUUUCGUGUUUGAUCUUGAGGUUGUGGUGUUUUUGAACUUGAGGUUUCUUGUUUGUUUAACUUGAGUUUGUGUGUUUGUUGAACUUGAGUUUGUGUUAUGUUUGAACUUGAGUUUGUGUCGUGUAUGAACUUGAGUUUGUGUCGUGUUUUUGAACUUGAGUUUUUGGUGUUUUUGAACUUGAGGGUGUGGAAUUUGUUAAACUUGAGAAUUGGGUAUUGGUUGAAUUUGAGUUUGUGUGUUUGUUGAACUUGAGUUUGUAUCAUGUUUGAACUUGAGUUUGUGGUCUUUUUGAACUUGAGUUUGUGUGUUUGUUGAACUCUAGGUUGUGGCAAUUGUUAAACUUGAGAUUUGGUUGUUGGUUGAACUUGAGUUUGUGUUGUGUUUGAACUUGAGUUCGUGUUGUUUGUUGAACUUGAAUUUGUGUGUUUUUUGAACUUAAUUUUUUUGAACUUAAGUUUGUGGCAAUUGUUGAACUUGAGUCUGUGGUUUUUGGUGAACUUUAAUUGGUGGCAAUUGUUGAACUUGAGUUUGUGGUGUUUUUGAACUUGAGUUUGUUUCGUGUUUGAACUUUGUUUGUGGUGUUUUUGAACUUGGGUUUUUGGUGUUUUUGAACUUGAGGGUGUGUUGUGUUUUUGAACUUGAGUUUGUGGUGUUUUUGAACUUGAGGUUGUUUCGUGUUUGAACUUGAGUUUGUGGCGUUUGUUGAACUCUAGGUUGUGGCAAUUGUUGAACUUGAGAUUUGGGUGUUGGUUCAACUUAAAAGUUUGGCAUUUGUUGAACUUGAGUUUGUGUGUUUGUUGAACUUAAGUUUGUGUCUUGUUUGAACUUGAGUUUGUGGUGUUUUCAAACUUGAGUUUGUGUGUUUUUUGAACUUUAGUUUUUGGUGUCUGAACUUGAGUUUGUGGUGUUUUUGAACUUGAGUUUGAAUCGUGGUUGAACUUGAGUUUGUGGUGUUUUUGAACUUGAGAGUGUGUUGUGUUUUUGAACUUGAGGUUGUGGUGUUUUUGAACUUGAGUUUGUUUCGUGUUUGAACUUGAGUUUGUGGCGUUUGUUGAACUCUAGGUUGUGGCAAUUGUUGAACUUGAGAUUUAGGUGUUGGUUCAACUUAAAAGUUUGGCAUUUGUUGAACUUGAGUUUGUGUGUUUGUUGAACUUAAGUUUGUGUCUUGUUUGAACUUGAGUUUGUGGUGUUUUCAAACUUGAGUUUGUGUGUUUUUUGAACUUGAGGUGUUGGAAAUUGUGAAACUUGAGAUUUGGGUAUUGGUUGAACUUGAGUUUGUGUGUUUGUUGAACAAGAGAUUGUGUUGUGUUUUAACUUCAGUUUGUGGCGUUUUUUAAGCUUGAGGUUGUGGUGUUUUUGAACUUGAGUUUGUGGUGUUUUGUACUUGAGUUUGUGUUAUUUUUCAACUUGAGGUUGUGGAACUUGUUAAACUUGAGAAUCAGGUGUUGAUUGAACUUGAGUAUUUGUUUUUUUUUAACUUGAGUUUGUGUCGUGUUUGAGCUCGAGUUUGUGGUGUUUUUGAAUUUGAGUUUGCGUGUUUGUUAAACUUGAGUUUGUGUCGUGUUUUAAAUUGAGUUUGUUGUUUCUGAACUUGAGUUUGUGGCAAUUGUUGAACUUGAGUUUGACAUUUGUUGAACUUGGGUUUGUGGUUUUUGUUGAACUUGAGUUUGUGGUGUUUUUGAACUUGAGGUUGUGGAAUUUGUUAAACUUGAGAAUUGGGUAUUGGUUGAAAUUGAGUUUGUGUGUUUGUUGAACUCUAGGUUGUGGCAAUUGUUAAACUUGAGAUUUGGUUGUUGGUUGAACUUGAGUUUGUGUUGUGUUUGAACUUGAGUUCGUGUUGUUUGUUGAACUUGAAUUUGUGUGUUUUUUGAACUUAAUUUUUUUGAACUUGAGUUUGUGGCAAUUGUUGAACUUGAGUCUGUGGUUUUUGGUGAACUUUAAUUGGUGGCAAUUGUUGAACUUGAGUUUGUGGUGUUUUUGAACUUGAGUUUGUUUCGUGUUUGAACUUUGUUUGUGGUGUUUUUGAACUUGGGUUUUUGGUGUUUUUGAACUUGAGGGUGUGUUGUGUUUUUGAACUUGAGUUUGUGGUGUUUUUGAACUUGAGGUUGUUUCGUGUUUGAACUUGAGUUUGUGGCGUUUGUUGAACUCUAGGUUGUGGCAAUUGUUGAACUUGAGAUUUGGGUGUUGGUUCAACUUAAAAGUUUGGCAUUUGUUGAACUUGAGUUUGUGUGUUUGUUGAACUUAAGUUUGUGUCUUGUUUGAACUUGAGUUUGUGGUGUUUUCAAACUUGAGUUUGUGUGUUUUUUGAACUUUAGUUUUUGGUGUCUGAACUUGAGUUUGUGGUGUUUUUGAACUUGAGUUUGAAUCGUGGUUGAACUUGAGUUUGUGGUGUUUUUGAACUUGAGAGUGUGUUGUGUUUUUGAACUUGAGGUUGUGGUGUUUUUGAACUCUAGGUUGUGGCAAUUGUUGAACUUGAGAUUUGGGUGUUGGUUCAACUUAAAAGUUUGGCAUUUGUUGAACUUAAGUUUGUGUGUUUGUUGAACUUAAGUUUGUGUCUUGUUUGAACUUGAGUUUGUGGUGUUUUUUGAACUUUAGUUUUGGUGUCUUUGAACUUGAGUUUGUGGUGUUUUUGAACUUGAGUUUGAAUCGUGGUUGAACUUGAUUUUGUGGUGUUUUCGAAAUUGAGGGUGUGUUGUGUUUUUGAACUUGAGGUUGUGGUGUUUUUGAACUUUAGUUUUGGUGUCUUUGAACUUGAGUUUGUGGUGUUUUUGAACUUGAGUUUGAAUCGUGGUUGAACUUGAUUUUGUGGUGUUUUCGAAAUUGAGGGUGUGUUGUGUUUUUGAACUUGAGGUUGUGGUGUUUUUGAACUUGAGUUUGUUUCUUGUUUGCACUUGAGUUUGUGGCGUUUGUUGAACUCUAGGUUGUGGCAAUUGUUGAACUUGAGAUUUGGGUGUUGGUUCAACUUAAAAGUUUGGCAUUUGUUGAACUUGAGUUUGUGUGUUUGUUGAACUUAAGUUUGUGUCUUGUUUGAACUUGAGUUUGUGGUGUUUUCAAACUUGAGUUUGUGGUGUUUUUGAACUUGAGGUGUUGGAAAUUGUGAAACUUGAGAAUUGGGUAUUGGUUGAACUUGAGUUUGUGUGUUUGUUGAACAAGAGAUUGUGUUGUGUUUUAACUUCAGUUUGUAGUGUUUUUUGAACUUGAGGUUGUGGUGUUUUUGAACUUGAGUUUGUGGUGUUUUGUACUUGAGUUUGUGUUAUUUUUCAACUUGAGGUUGUGGAAAAACGUAAACUUGAGAUUUGGGUGUUGAUUGAACUUGAGUUUGUUUCGUGUUUGAUCUUGAGGUUGUGGUGUUUUUGAACUUGAGGUUUCUUGUUUGUUUAACUUGAGUUUGUGUGUUUGUUGAACUUGAGUUUGUGUUAUGUUUGAACUUGAGUUUGUGUCGUGUAUGAACUUGAGUUUGUGUCGUGUUUUUGAACUUGAGUUUUUGGUGUUUUUGAACUUGAGGGUGUGGAAUUUGUUAAACUUGAGAAUUGGGUAUUGGUUGAAUUUGAGUUUGUGUGUUUGUUGAACUUGAGUUUGUAUCAUGUUUGAACUUGAGUUUGUGGUCUUUUUGAACUUGAGUUUGUGUGUUUGUUGAACUCUAGGUUGUGGCAAUUGUUAAACUUGAGAUUUGGUUGUUGGUUGAACUUGAGUUUGUGUUGUGUUUGAACUUGAGUUCGUGUUGUUUGUUGAACUUGAAUUUGUGUGUUUUUUGAACUUAAUUUUUUUGAACUUAAGUUUGUGGCAAUUGUUGAACUUGAGUCUGUGGUUUUUGGUGAACUUUAAUUGGUGGCAAUUGUUGAACUUGAGUUUGUGGUGUUUUUGAACUUGAGUUUGUUUCGUGUUUGAACUUUGUUUGUGGUGUUUUUGAACUUGGGUUUUUGGUGUUUUUGAACUUGAGGGUGUGUUGUGUUUUUGAACUUGAGUUUGUGGUGUUUUUGAACUUGAGGUUGUUUCGUGUUUGAACUUGAGUUUGUGGCGUUUGUUGAACUCUAGGUUGUGGCAAUUGUUGAACUUGAGAUUUGGGUGUUGGUUCAACUUAAAAGUUUGGCAUUUGUUGAACUUGAGUUUGUGUGUUUGUUGAACUUAAGUUUGUGUCUUGUUUGAACUUGAGUUUGUGGUGUUUUCAAACUUGAGUUUGUGUGUUUUUUGAACUUUAGUUUUUGGUGUCUGAACUUGAGUUUGUGGUGUUUUUGAACUUGAGUUUGAAUCGUGGUUGAACUUGAGUUUGUGGUGUUUUUGAACUUGAGAGUGUGUUGUGUUUUUGAACUUGAGGUUGUGGUGUUUUUGAACUUGAGUUUGUUUCGUGUUUGAACUUGAGUUUGUGGCGUUUGUUGAACUCUAGGUUGUGGCAAUUGUUGAACUUGAGAUUUGGGUGUUGGUUCAACUUAAAAGUUUGGCAUUUGUUGAACUUGAGUUUGUGUGUUUGUUGAACUUAAGUUUGUGUCUUGUUUGAACUUGAGUUUGUGGUGUUUUCAAACUUGAGUUUGUGUGUUUUUUGAACUUGAGGUGUUGGAAAUUGUGAAACUUGAGAUUUGGGUAUUGGUUGAACUUGAGUUUGUGUGUUUGUUGAACAAGAGAUUGUGUUGUGUUUUAACUUCAGUUUGUGGUGUUUUUUAAGCUUGAGGUUGUGGUGUUUUUGAACUUGAGUUUGUGGUGUUUUGUACUUGAGUUUGUGUUAUUUUUCAACUUGAGGUUGUGGAACUUGUUAAACUUGAGAAUCAGGUGUUGAUUGAACUUGAGUAUUUGUUUUUUUUUAACUUGAGUUUGUGUCGUGUUUGAGCUCGAGUUUGUGGUGUUUUUGAAUUUGAGUUUGCGUGUUUGUUAAACUUGAGUUUGUGUCGUGUUUUAAAUUGAGUUUGUUGUUUCUGAACUUGAGUUUGUGGCAAUUGUUGAACUUGAGUUUGACAUUUGUUGAACUUGGGUUUGUGGUUUUUGUUGAACUUGAGUUUGUGGUGUUUUUGAACUUGAGGUUGUGGAAUUUGUUAAACUUGAGAAUUGGGUAUUGGUUGAAAUUGAGUUUGUGUGUUUGUUGAACUUGAGUUUGUGUCGUGUUUGAACUUCGGUUUGUGGUGUUUUUUGAGCUUGAGGUUGUGGUGUUUCUGAACUUGAGUUUGUGUUGCUUUUGAAGUUUAGGUUGUGGCAAUUUCUAAAAUUGAGAUUUGGGUGUUGGUUGAACUUAAAAGUUUGUCAUUUGUUGAACUUCAGUUUGUGGAAAUUGUUAAAAUUGAGGAUUGGGUGUUGGUUGAACUUGAGUUUGUGGUGUUUGUUGAACUUGAGUUUGUGAGGUGUUUGAACUUGAGUUUGUGGUGUUUUUGAACUUGAGUUUUUGGUGUUCGUUGAACUCGAGUUUGUGUCGUGUUUGAACUUGAGUUUGUGGCGUUUUUGAACUUUAGGUUGUUUGCAAUUGUGAAACUUGAGUUUUGGGUGUUGGUUGAACUUAAAAUUUUGACAUUUGUUGAACUUGAAUUUGUGGUGUUUGUUGAACUUUUGUUUGUGUCAUGUUUGAACUUGAGUUUAUGGUGUUUUUGAACUUGAGGUUGUGGUGUUUUUGAACUUGAGUUUGUGGCGUGUUUGAACUUGAGGUUGUUGCAAUUGUUAAAUUGAGAUUUUGGUGUUGGUUGAACUUAAAACUUUGACAUUUGUUGAACUUGAGUUUGAGCUGUUUGUUUAACAUUAGUUUGUGUCAUUUUUGUACUUGAGUUUGUUGUGUUUUUGAACUUGAGUUUGUGGAAAUUGUUAAACUUGAGAAUCGGGUGUUGGUUCAACUUGGUUUUCUGUUGUUUUUGAACUUGAGGUUGUGGAAAUUGUUAAACUUGAGAAUCAGGUGUUGGUUGAAGUUGAGUUUGUGUGUUUGUUGAACUUGAGUUUGUGUCGUGUUCGAACUUGAGUUUGUGGUAUUUUUGAAAUUGAGUUUGUGUGUUUGUUGAUCUUGAGGUUAUGGAAAUUGUUAAACCCCAAAAUUGGGUAUUGGUUGAACUUGAGUUUGUGUUGUUUUUGAACUUGAGUUUGUGUAGUGUUUGAACUUGAGUUUGUGGUGUUUUUUGAGCUUGAGGUUGUGGUGUUUUUGAGCUUGAGAUUGUGGCGUGUUUGAACUUGAGUUUGUGGUGGUUUUUGAACUUGAGGUUGUGAAAAUUGUUAAAACUUGAGAAUCAGGUGUUGGUUGAACUUGAGUUUGUGGUUUUUUUUUAGCUUGAGUUUGUGGUUUUUGUUGAACUUGAGUUUUUGUCGUUUUUGAGCUUGAGGUUUUGGUGUUUUUAAACUUGAGUUUGCGUGUUUGUUUAACUCGAGUUUGUGUGUUUUUUUAACUUGAGUUUGUUGUUUCUGAACUUGAGGUUUUGGCAAUUGUUGAACUUGAGUCUGUUGUUUUUAGUGAACUUUAGUUGGUGGCAAUUGUUGAACUUGAGUUUGUGGCAUUUGUUAAACUUGAGUUUGUGACGUGUUUAAACAUGAUUUUGUGGUGUUUUUGAACUCGAGUUUGUGGUGUUUUUGAACUUGAGGUUGUGGAAAUUGUUAAACUUGAGAAUUGGGUAUUGGUUGAACUUGAGUUUGUGUUUUUUUUGAACUUGAGUUUGUGUCAUGUUUGAACUUCAGUUUGUGGUGUUUUUGAACUCGAGUCUUUGUGUUUGUUGAACUUCAGUUUGUGUCGUGUUUGAACUUGAGUUUGUGGUGUUUUUUGAACUUGAGGUUGUGUGUUUUUUUGAACUUGAGUUUGUGGCGGUUUUUGAACUUGAGGUUGUGGCAAUUGUUGAACUUGAGUUUGUGACGUGUUUGAACUUGAUUUUGUGGUGUUUUUGAACUUGAGUUUGUGGUGUUUUUUUAACUUGAGUUCGUGGUGUUUGUGGAAUUUGAGUUUGUGUCGUUUGAACUUGAGGUUGUGUUGUUUUUGAACUCGAGUUUUUGUGUUUGUUGAACUUCAGUUUGUGUCGUGUUUGAACUUGAGUUUGUGGUGUUUUUUGAACUUGAGGUUGUGGUGUUUUUGACUUGAGUUCGUGGCGUGUUUGAACUUGAGGUUGUUGCAAUUGUUAAACUUGAGAUUUGGGUGUUGGUUGAACUUAAAACUUUGCCAUUUGUUGAACUUGAGUUAGUGGUGUAUGUUGAACUCCAGCUUGUGUUGUGUUUGAACUUGAGGUCGUGGUAUUUUUGAAUUGAGUUUGUGGAGGUUUUUGAACUUGAGUUUGUGGCGUGUUUGAACUUGAGAUUGUGGCGUGUUUGAACUUGAGUUUGUGGUGGUUUUUGAACUUGAGGUUGUGAAAAUUGUUAAAACUUGAGAAUCAGGUGUUGGUUGAACUUGAGUUUGUGGUUUUUGUUGAACUUGAUUUUGUGCUUUGAUUGAACUUUAGUUUAUGUUUUUUUUUUGUACUUGAGUUUGUGUUGUUUUUGAACUUGAGGUUGUGGAAAUUGUAAAAACUUGAGAAUCAGGUGUUGGUUGAACUUGAGUUUGUGUGUUUUUUUAACUUGAGUUUGUUGUUUCUGAACUUGAGGUUUUGGCAAUUGUUGAACUUGAUAAUUGGGUAUUGGUUGAACUUGAGUUUGUGUGUUUGUUGAACUUGAGUUUGUGUCGUGUUUGAACUUCAGUUUGUGGUGUUUUUUGAACUUGAGUUUUUGGUGUCUUUGAACUUGAGGUUGUGGCAAUUGUUGAAUUUAAGUUUGUGACGUGUUUGAACUUGAUUUUGUGGUGUUUUUGAACUCGAGUUUGUUUUGUUUUUGAACUUGAGUUUGUGGUGUUUGUUGAACUUGAGUUUGUGUCGUGUUUGAACUUGAGGUUGUGGUGUUUUUGAACUCGAGUUUUUGUGUUUGUUGAACUUCAGUUUGUGUCGUGUUUGAACUUGAGUUUGUGGUGUUUUUUGAACUUGAGGUUGUGGUGUUUUUGAACUUGAGUUUGUGGCGGUUUUUGAACUUGAGGUUGUUGCAAUUGUUGAACUUGAAAUAAAAACCCAAAUAUGAACCCAAAUAUAUAUUUUUUCUUUUUACAUUUUUUUUGGUGUAACCAACUCCAAAAGGUCUUAAACAUGUUCCUAAAAAAAUUUUGGACAGUGAUUUUAAACCUAACGCCUAAAACCUUAAACCUUACCCUAGCCCCAUAACCUAAUACCCGGGUAUUAACUUCAGGAAGCCCAAAAACCCCAAAUAUUUUUUUUUCAUUGUUCGUUUUUUUUUUGGUCUAACUAACACCAAAAGGUUGGAAAGAGGUCCUACAAAGGUUUUGGACAGUGAUUUUAACACUCACGUCAAAAACCUUAAACCUUACUAUAGCCCCAUGACCUAAUACCCGGGUAUUACCUUCAGAAGCCCAAAAACCCCAAAUAUUUUUUUUUUAUUUUUCGUUAGUUUUUGCUCUAUCUAACUCCAAAAGGUUGGAAAAGAGUUCCUACAAAGGUUUUGGACAGUGAUUUUAACCCUAACGCCAAAAACCUUAAACCUUACCCUAGCCCCAUAACCUCAUACCCGGUUAUUUCCUUAAGGAAGCCCGAAGACCCCAAAUAUAUUUUUUUCAUUUUUUUUUUUUUGGUCUAACUUGCUCUCAAAGGUUGGAAAAGAGUUCCUACAAAGGUUUUGGACAUUGAUUUUAACCCUAACGCCAAAAAACUUAAAGCAUUACCCUAGCCCAGAAACCUAGUAUUACCUUCAGGAAGCCCGAACACCCAAAAAAAAUUCUUUUUCUUUUUACAUUUUUUUUGGUGUAACCAACUCCAAAAGGUCUGAAACAUGUUCCUAAAAAGGUUUUGGACAUUGAUUUUAACCCUAACACCAAAAAACCUUAAACCUUACCCGAGCCCCAUAACCUAAUACGGGUAUUUCCUUCAGGAAGCCCGAAGACCCCAAAUAUGUUUUUUUCUUUUUUCUUUUUUUUUGGUCUAACUAACUCCAAAAGGUUGGAAAAGAGUUCCUACAAAGGUUUUGGACAGUGAUUUUAACCCUAACACCAAAAACCUUAAACCUUACCCUAGCCCCAAAACCUAAUACCCGGGUAUUACCUUCAGGAAGCCCGAACACCCCAAAUAUAUUUUUUUUCAUUUCACAUUUUUUUUUGGUGUAACAAACUCCAAAAGGUCUUAAACAUGUUCCUAAAAAGGUUUUGGUCAGUGAUUUUAACCCUAACGCCAAAAACCUUUAACCUUACUAUAGCCCCAUAACCAAAUACCCGGGUAUUACCUUCAGGAAACCCGAACACCCCAAAUAUUUUUUUUCAUUUUUCGUUUUUUUUUGGUCUAACUAACUCCAAAAGGUUGGAAAAUAGUUCCUACAAAGGUUUUGGACAGUGAUUUUAACCCUAACGCCAAAAACCUUAAACCUUACUAUAGCCCCAUAACCUAAUACCCAGGUAUUACCUUCAGGAAGCUUGAACACCCCAAAUAUUUUUUUUUCAUUUUACAUUUUUUUUGGUGUAACCUACUCCAAAAGGUCUGAAACAUGUUCCUAAAAAGGUUUUGGACAUUGAUUUUAACCCUAACACCAAAAAACCUUAAACCUUACCCUAGCCCCAUAACCUAAUACCCGGGUAUUUCCUUCAGGAAGCCCGAAGACCCCAAAUAUAUUUUUUUCUUUUUUCUUUUUUUUUUGGUCUAACUAACUCCAAAAGGUUGGAAAAGAGUUCCUACAAAGGUUUUGGACAGUGAUUUUAACCCUAACACCAAAAACCUUAAACCUUACCCUAGCCCCAAAACCUAAUACCCGGGUAUUACCUUCAGGAAGCCCGAACACCCAAAAAAAAUUUUUUUUCAUUUUACAUUUUUUUUGGUGUAACCAACUCCAAAAGGUCUGAAACAUGUUCCUAAAAAGGUUUUGGACAGUGAUUUUAACCCUUACGCCAAAAACCUUAAACCUUACCCUAGCCCCAUAACCUAAUACCCGGGUAUUACCUUCAGGAAGCCCGAACACCCCAAAUAUUUUUUUUUCAUUUAUCUUUUUUUUGUCUAACUAAUUCCCAAAGGUUGGAAAAGAGUUCCUACAAAGGUUUUGGACAGUGAUUUUUACCCUCACGCCGAAAUACCUUAAACCUUACCCUAGCCCCAUAACCUAAUACCCGGGUAUUACCUUCAGGAAGCCCGAACACCCCAAAUAUAUAUUUUUUAUUUUUCUAUUUGUUUUGGUCUAACUUGCUCUCAAAGGUUGGAAAAGAGUUCCUACAAAGGAUUUGGACAUUGAUUUCAACCCUAACGCCAAAAAACUUAAACAUUACCCUAGCCCAGAAACCUAAUACCCGGGUAUUACCUUCAGGAAGCCCGAACACCCAAAAUAAAUUUUUUUUCAUUUUACAUUUUUUUUGGUGUAACCAACUCCAAAAGGUCUGAAACAUGUUCCUUAAAAGGUUUUGGACAGUGAUUUUAACCCUUACGCCAAAAACCUUAAACCUUACCCCAGCCCCAUAACCUAAUACCCGGGUAUUACCUUCAGGAAGCCCGAACACCCCAAAUAUUUUUUUUUCAUUUAUCUUUUUUUUUUUUGUCUAACUAACUCCAAAAGGUUGGAAAAUAGUUCCUACAAAGGUUUUGGACAGUGAUUUUAACCCUAACGCCAAAAACCUUAAACCUUACUAUAGCCCCAUAACCUAAUACCCGGGUAUUACCUUCAGGAAGCUUGAACACCCCAAAUAUUUUUUUUUCAUUUUACAUUUUUUUUUUGGUGUAACCUACUCCAAAAGGUCUGAAACAUGUUCCUAAAAAGGUUUUGGACAUUGAUUUUAACCCUAACGCCAAAAACCUUAAACCUUACCCUAGCCCCAUAACCUAAUACCUGGGUAUUUCCUUCAGGAAGCCCGAAGACCCCAAAUAUAUUUUUUUCUUUUUUCUUUUUUUGGUCUAACUAACUCCCAAAGGUCUGAAACAUGUUCCUUAAAAAAUAUUGGACAGUUAUUUUAACCCUAACGCCAAAAACCUUAAACCUAACCCUAGCCCCAAAACCUAAUUACCUUACCUUCAGGAAGCCCGAACACCCCAAAUAUUUUUUUUUCAUUUUACAUUUUUUUUUUGGUGUAACCAACUCUAAAAGGUCUUAAACAUGUUCCUAAAAAGGUUUUGGACACUGAUUUUAACUCUAACACCAAAAACCUUAAACCUUACCCUAGCCCCAUAACCUAAUACCCGGGUAUUACCUUCAGGAAACCCGAACACCCCAAAUAUAUAUUUUUUUCUUUUUUUUUUUUUUUGGUCUAACUAACUCCCAAAGGUCUGAAACAUGUUCCUUAAAAAAUAUUGGACAGUUAUUUUAACCCUAACGCCAAAAACCUUAAACCUAACCCUAGCCCCAAAACCUAAUACCCGGGUAUUACCUUCAGGAAGCCCGAACACCCCAAAUAUUUUUUUUUCAUUUAUCUUUUUUUUUUUGUCUAACUAACUCCAAAAGGUUGGAAAAUAGUUCCUACAAAGGUUUUGGACAGUGAUUUUAACCCUAUCGCCAAAAACCUUAAACCUUACUAAAGCCCCAUAACCUAAUACCCGGGAAUAACCUUCAGGAAGCUUGAACACCCCAAAUAUUUUUUUUUCAUUUUACAAUUUUUUUUGGUCUAACUAACUCCAAAAGGUCUGAAACAUGUUCCUAAAAAGGUUUUGGACAGUGAUUUUAACCCUUACGCCAAAAACCUUAAACCUUACCCUAGCCCCAUAACCUAAUACCCGGGUAUUACCUUCAGGAAACCCGAACACCCCAAAUAUUUUUUUUUUCUUUUUCUUUUUUUUUUGUCUAACUAACUCCCAAAGGUCUGAAACAUGUUCCUUAAAAAAAAUUGGACAGUUAUUUUAACCCUAACGCCAAAAACCUUAAACCUAACCCUAGCCCCAAAACCUAAUACUUCAGGAAGCUUGAACACCCCAAAUAUUUUUUUUUCAUUUUACAUUUUUUUGGGUGUUACCAAUUCCAAAAGGUCUGAAACAUGUUCCUAAAAAGGUUUUGGACAGUGAUUUUAGCCCGAACACCCCAAAUAUUUUUUUUCAUUUUUCAUUUUUUUUUGGUCUAACUAACUCCAAAAGGUUGGAAAAUAGUUCCUACAAAGGUUUUGGACAGUGAUUUUAACCCUAACGCCAAAAACCUUAAACCUUACUAUAGCCCCAUAACCUAAUACCCGGGUAUUACCUUCAGGAAGCUUGAACACCCCAAAUAUUUUUUUUUCAUUUUACAUUUUUUUUGGUGUUACCAACUCCAAAAGGUCUGAAACAUGUUCCUAAAAAGGUUUUGGACAGUGAUUUUAACCCUAACACCAAAAACCUUAAACCUUACCCUUGCCCCAUAACCUAUUACCUGGGUAUUUUCUUCAGGAAGCCCGAACACCCCAAAUAUAUAUUUUUUAUUAUUCUUUUUUUUUUUUUGGUCUAACUAACUCCAAAAGGUCGGAAAAACAUUCCUACAAAGGUUUUGGACAGUGAUUUUAACCCUAACGCCAAAAACCUUAAACCUUACACUAGCCCCAAAACCUAAUACCCGGGUAUUACCUUCAGGAAACCCGAACACCCCAAAUAUAUUUUUUUUCUUUUUCUUUUUUUUUUGUCUAACUAACUCCCAAAGGUCUGAAACAUGUUCCUUUAAAAAUAUUGGACAGUUAUUUUAACCCUAACGCCAAAAACCUUAAACCUAACCCUAGCCCCAAAACCUAAUACCCAGGUAUUACCUUCAGGAAGCCCGAACACCCCAAAUAUUUUUUUUUCAUUUAUCUUAUUUUUUUUGUCUAACUUAUUCCCAAAGGUUGGAAAAGAGUUCCUACAAAGGUUUUGGACAGUGAUUUUUACCCUCACGCCGAAAAACCUUAAACCUUACCCUAGCCCCAUAACCUAAUACCCGGGUAUUACCUUCAGGAAGCCCGAACACCCCAAAUAUACAUUUUUUAUUUUUCUUUUUGUUUUGGUCUAACUUGCUCUCAAAGGUUGGAAAAGAAAUCCUACAAAGGUUUUGGACAUUGAUUUUAACCCUAACGCCAAAAACCUAAAACAUUACCCUAGCCCAGAAACCUAGUAUUACCUUCAGGAAGCCCGAACACCCAAAAAAAAUUCUUUUUCAUUUUACAUUUUUUUUGGUGUAACCAACUCCAAAAGGUCUGAAACAUGUUCCUAAAAAGGUUUUGGACAGUGAUUUUAACCCUUACGCCAAAAACCUUAAACCCUUCCCUAGCCCCAUAACCUAAUACCUUGGUAUUACCUUCAGGAAGCCCGAACACCCCAAAUAUUUUUUUUCAUUUUUCGUUUUUUUUUGGUCUAACUAACUCCAAAAGGUUGGAAAAUAGUUCCUACAAAGGUUUUGGACAGUGAUUUUAACCCUAACGCCGAAAACCUUAAACCUUACUAUAGCCCCAUAACCUAAUACCCGGGUAUUACCUUCAGGAAGCUUGAACACCCCAAAUAUUUUUUUUUCAUUUUACAUUUUUUUUUGGUGUAACCUACUCCAAAAGGUCUGAAACAUGUUCCUAAAAAGGUUUUGGACAUUGAUUUUAACCCUAACGCCAAAAAACUUAAACCUUACCCUAGCCCCAUAACCUAAUACCUGGGUAUUUCCUUCAGGAAGCCCGAAGACCCCAAUAUAUUUUUUUCAUUUUUUUUUUUUUUGGUCUAACUAACUCCAAAAGGUUGGAAAAGAGUUCCUACAAAGGUUUUGGACAGUGAUUUUAACCCUAACACGAAAAACCUUAAACCUUACCCUAGCCCCAAAACCUAAUACCCGGGUAUUACCUUCAGGAAGCCCGAACACCCCACAUAUUUUUUUUUUCAUUUUACAUUUUUUUUUGGGUGUAACCAACUCCAAAAGGUCUUAAACAUGUUCCUUAAAAGGUUUUGGACACUGAUUUUAACUCUAACGCCAAAAACCUUAAACCUUACCCUAGCCCCAUAACCUAAUACCCGGGUAUUACCUUCAGGAAACCCGAACACCCCAAAUAUUUAGGGCCCGAGCCAGCUGCAGAGCAGCCGGGCGUAGGCCCUGUUAUUCCUGUAGGGGUUUUUAGGGCCCGAGCGUAGCUGCUAAGCAGCUGCGAGAGCCCUCUUGUUCCUGUAGUUUCCUUCUUUUGUUAUUAGGGCCCGAGCGUAGCUGCUAAGCAGCUGCGAGAGCCCUCUUGUUCCUGUAGUUUCCUUCUUUUGUUAUUAUUAUUAUUAUUUUUCCUCCCCUUUGAACUGGAAAAUGGCCCACUUCCCACUGGCGAAAACUCAUGAAAUUUGGCAGGACGACCGGGCCUGGUGAAAAAUUUGAUAUUCCGAAGUCGCCCAAACAAGAAAAUGCAAAAUGGCUCCAUAGCGCCCCCUAAGGGGAAAAUUCACACUAUUCACUGUCACGCCGGUACGCUUUGUCAAAAUGACACAAAAAUUGACACACACAUGUAUCUCAAUAAGAUCUACAAAAAAGUCAGUGCGGGCGUAUCUGUCAAAUGUACGGUUAAAGGGUUAUUUCGCAUUUUUUGCCGAUCCGCACACAUUGGAAUUUCGCUAACUCCUCCGAAGGCUUUCGUUCCACCGGCACCACAUUUGCUCAGGCCAAUCUACACCCCAUGGCCAUUAAAAGUUAUUCAAAUCAUGACGCUGCACCCCACGGUUUAGGUUCUAGGGGGCGCCAAAGAUAACCCUAAGAUCCACAUAUUUAAAAGUCUUAUAACUUUUUAUUUUUGCCCUCACUGGCCUCCAAGUUUUCUAGGAUGAUGCAAUGUCCAGCCAUCAACACAUUUGUGAAGGAAUUUUUACUCCCCAAAAGAGCGCCCCCCAUGGCAGGAGAAAAAAGUCCAUUUUUUCUUGUCCCCUAAGGUGAAAAUACACAUUGUUGAGUGUAACACCUGUACGCUUUGGCAAAAUGACACAAAAAUUGACACACACAUGUAUCUCAAUAAGAUCUACGAAAAAGUCAAUGCGCGCGUAUCUGUCAAAUGUACGGUUAAAGGGUUAUUCCGCAUUUUUUGCCGAUCCGCACACAUUGGAAUUUCGCUAACUCCUCCGAAGGCUUUCGUUCCACCGGCACCACAUUUGCUCAGGCCAAUCUACACCCCAUGGCCAUUAAAAGUUAUUCAAAUCAUGACGCUGCACCCCACGGUUUAGGUUCUAGGGGGAGCCAAAGAUAACCGUAAAAUCCACAUAUUUAAAAGUCUUAUAACUUUUUAUUUUUGUCCCCACUGGCCUCCAAGUUUUCUAGGAUGAUGCAAUGUCCAGCCAUCAACACAUUUGUGAAGGAAUUUUUACUCGGCAAAAGAGCGCCCCGCCAUGGCAGGAGAAAAAAGUCAAUUUUUUCUUGUCCACUAAGGUGAAAAUACACAUUGUUGAGUGCUACGCCUGUAUGUUUUGUCGUAUUGACAAAAAAUUUUACAUACACGUGUAUUUACAUAAGAUCUUCGAAAAAGUCAAUGGCCACGUAUCUGUAAAAUGUACGGUUAAAGGGUUAUUUCGCAUUUUUUGCAGAUUCGCACACAUUGGAAUUUCGCUAAUUCCUCCGAAGGCUUUCGUUCCACCGGCACCACAUUUGCUCAGGCCAAUCUACACCCCAUGGCCAUUAAAAGUUAUUCAAAUCAUGACGCUGCACCCCACGGUUUAGGUUCUAGGGCGCGCCAAAUAUAACCCUAAAAUCCACAUAUUUAAAAGUCUUAUAACUUUUUAUUUUUGUCCUCACUGGCCUCCAUGUUUUCUAGGAUGAUGCAAUGUCCAGCCAUCAACACAUUUGUGAAGGAGUUUUUCUCUUUAAAAGAGCGCCCCCCAUGGCAGGAGAAUAAAGUCAAGUUUUUCCUGUUCAUCAUUCAAUGGCUCAAACGCACUGCUCUCUCGGCAAAAGCGAAAGGAGGAGCAACUUGCCAUUUGGAUAUAUCUUAGCUGUGUUUGUGCCCUCACUCAUGGUCCAGACUUUUUCAAAUAGGACAUGGAGUUUUUCUGCAGCGAGCGUUUUGGUAGAAACUGCGCCUCCCGUUCAUUAUAAUGGUAAAUGACCACAAACAAGUGCGCACACCAUCUUUGGACCUUGAGUGUGACGCGAUCGGGUGGGGGAGGCGGUCGCGCUGGGGGCGGCGUGACACGGCUCGGGCCCGCCAGUGCCCCAACGGGGCCCUAGUUAUUAUUUUUCCUCCCCUUUGAACUUGAAAAUGGCCCACUUCCCACUGGCGAAAACUCAUGAAAUUUGGCAGGACGACCGGGCCUGGUGAAAAAUUUGAUAUUCCGAAGUCGCCCAAACAAGAAAAUGCAAAAUGGCUCCAUAGCGCCCCCUAAGGUGAAAAUUCACACUAUUCACUGUCACGCCUGUACGCUUUGUCAAAAUGACACAAAAAUUGACACACACAUGUAUCUCAGUAAGAUCUACAAAAAAGUCAGUGCGGGCGUAUCUGUCAAAUGUACGGUUAAAGGGUUAUUUCGCAUUUUUUGCCGAUCCGCACACAUUGGAAUUUCGCUAACUCCUCCGAAGGCUUUCGUUCCACCGGCACCACAUUUGCUCAGGCCAAUCUACACCCCAUGGCCAUUAAAAGUUAUUCAAAUCAUGACGCUGCACCCCACGGUUUAGGUUCUAGGGGGCGCCAAAAAUAACCCUAAAAUCCACAUAUUUAAAAGUCUUAUAACUUUUUAUUUUUGCCCUCACUGGCCUCCAAGUUUUCUAGGAUGAUGCAAUGUCCAGCCAUCAACACAUUUGUGAAGGAAUUUUUACUCCCCAAAAGAGCGCCCCCCAUGGCAGGAGAAAAAAGUCCAUUUUUUCUUGUCCCCUAAGGUGAAAAUACACAUUGUUGAGUGUAACACCUGUACGCUUUGGCAAAAUGACACAAAAAUUGACACACACAUGUAUCUCAAUAAGAUCUACGAAAAAGUCAAUGCGCGCGUAUCUGUCAAAUGUACGGUUAAAGGGUUAUUCCGCAUUUUUUGCCGAUCCGCACACAUUGGAAUUUCGCUAACUCCUCCGAAGGCUUUCGUUCCACCGGCACCACAUUUGCUCAGGCCAAUCUACACCCCA
rnacentral:lncRNA from 1 species